rnacentral:rRNA from 1 species
CUGGUGCCAGCAGCCGCGGUAAUUCCAGCUCCAAUAGCGUUAUAUUAAAGUUGUUGCAGUUAAAAAGCUCGUAGUUGAAUUUCGGGAUUGACACAUCGGUCGUGCCUUAAGGGGUAUGAACUGGUGUAGUCAAUUUCUCACCUUCUGGAGAACCGCGAUGCCCUUAAUUGGGUGUCACGGGGAACCAGGACCUUACUUUGAAGAAAUUAGAGUGUUUAAAGCAGGCAUUUUGCUUGAAUACAUUAGCAUGGAAUAAUAAAAUAGGACGGCAUGAUUCUAAUUUUGUUGGUUUCUAGGAUCACCGUAAUGAUUAAUAGGGAUAGUUGGGGGCAUUAGUAUUCAAUUGUCAGAGGUGAAAUUCUUGGAUUUAUUGAAGACUAACUACUGCGAAAGCAUUUGCCAAGGAUGUUUUCAUUAAUCAAGAACGAAAGUUAGGGGAUCGAAGACGAUCAGAUACCGUCGUAGUCUUAACCAUAAACUAUGCCGACUAGGAAUCAGACGAUGUUAAUUUUUUAAUGACUCGUUUGGCACCUUACG